CGGGUGAGUAACACGUGGGUAAUCUGCCCUGCACUUCGGGAUAAGCCUGGGAAACCGGGUCUAAUACCGGAUAUGAGCUCCUGCCGCAUGGUGGGGGUUGGAAAGUUUUUCGGUGCAGGAUGAGUCCGCGGCCUAUCAGCUUGUUGGUGGGGUAAUGGCCUACCAAGGCGACGACGGGUAGCCGGCCUGAGAGGGUGAUCGGCCACACUGGGACUGAGACACGGCCCAGACUCCUACGGGAGGCAGCAGUGGGGAAUAUUGCACAAUGGGCGGAAGCCUGAUGCAGCGACGCCGCGUGGGGGAUGACGGUCUUCGGAUUGUAAACUCCUUUCAGUAGGGACGAAGCGAGAGUGACGGUACCUGCAGAAGAAGCACCGGCCAACUACGUGCCAGCAGCCGCGGUAAUACGUAGGGUGCAAGCGUUGUCCGGAAUUACUGGGCGUAAAGAGCUCGUAGGCGGUUUGUCACGUCGUCUGUGAAAUCCUCCAGCUCAACUGGGGGCGUGCAGGCGAUACGGGCAGACUUGAGUACUACAGGGGAGACUGGAAUUCCUGGUGUAGCGGUGAAAUGCGCAGAUAUCAGGAGGAACACCGGUGGCGAAGGCGGGUCUCUGGGUAGUAACUGACGCUGAGGAGCGAAAGCAUGGGGAGCAAACAGGAUUAGAUACCCUGGUAGUCCAUGCCGUAAACG
rnacentral:rRNA from 1 species